ACUUUAACGUUUUCAAUUAAUGAAUAGAAUUUUUUAUUUCCAGUCCAUGUCAACACGGUUCACUCCAAUAUAAAACAAAGACACGUUAAAUGUACAUAUAUACAGUGUUUCGAGAGGAAAAGAAAAUAUUUUGGAAAUGCAUUCAGUAGGUCAAAAUAAGUUUUUAACAUCAGUUUGUGGGCAGAAAACUGGAUUUUUUUCAGCGUACCUACGGAUUAAUUCUGAUCGAAGGGAGGGUUCAAAUGCGGAAAAUGAAGAGAAUGUUCUGGAUAUGGCUGAAGUGAAUUCAGGUUCUGGAGUCUGUAUUGAAGUUGGUGGGGGUAUUUUCGAAAAUAUUCUAAGCUAGCUUAAUUUUGUUGUUUAUACCAUAGUUAUUGGUUUGUAUUGCUUUUAAAUAGAAAGAUCGUCACAAAAAC